ACGAACGCUGGCGGCGUGCUUAACCCAUGCCAGUCGAACGGAAAGGCCCUGCUUUUGUGGGGUGCUCGAGUGGCGAACGGGUGAGUAACACGUGAGUAACCUGCCCUUGACUUUGGGAUAACUUCAGGAAACUGGGGCUAAUACCGGAUAGGAGCUCCUGCUGCAUGGUGGGGGUUGGAAAGUUUCGGCGGUUGGGGAUGGACUCGCGGCUUAUCAGCUUGUUGGUGGGGUAGUGGCUUACCAAGGCUUUGACGGGUAGCCGGCCUGAGAGGGUGACCGGCCACAUUGGGACUGAGAUACGGCCCAGACUCCUACGGGAGGCAGCAGUGGGGAAUAUUGCACAAUGGGCGGAAGCCUGAUGCAGCAACGCCGCGUGCGGGAUGACGGCCUUCGGGUUGUAAACCGCUUUCGCCUGUGACGAAGCGUGAGUGACGGUAAUGGGUAAAGAAGCACCGGCUAACUACGUG
rnacentral:rRNA from 1 species